GACGGACGCUGGCGGCGUGCUUAACACAUGCAAGUCGAACGGAAAGGCCCUGCUUUUGUGGGGUGCUCGAGUGGCGAACGGGUGAGUAACACGUGAGUAACCUGCCCUUGACUUUGGGAUAACUUCAGGAAACUGGGGCUAAUACCGGAUAGGAGCUCCUGCUGCAUGGUGGGGGUUGGAAAGUUUCGGCGGUUGGGGAUGGACUCGCGGCUUAUCAGCUUGUUGGUGGGGUAGUGGCUUACCAAGGCUUUGACGGGUAGCCGGCCUGAGAGGGUGACCGGCCACAUUGGGACUGAGAUACGGCCCAGACUCCUACGGGAGGCAGCAGUGGGGAAUAUUGCACAAUGGGCGGAAGCCUGAUGCAGCAACGCCGCGUGCGGGGUGACGGCCUUCGGGUUGUAAACCGCUUUCGCCUGUGACGAAGCGUGAGUGACGGUAAUGGGUAAAGAAGCACCGGCUAACUACGUG
rnacentral:rRNA from 1 species